rnacentral:tRNA from 1 species
GGGCGGUUAGCUCAGUGGUUAGAGCACCUGCUUCACACGCAGGGGGUCACUGGUUCAAAUCCAGUAUCGCCCACCA